CACAUUUUACACACUUAUCUUUUAUCUUGCUUUUCUUUCAUUUGUAUCUGAUACCUUUCACUGAACAAAUGGAGCUGAUGUGUAUUUCAAUUGUUUCCUUCUUUUUGUGCUGCUGGAAAGGUCUCUCGUAUAGCUCUGAGAAGCUCGUAAGCAUCAAUGACUACGUAUCAACUGUUCCGAGAAACAUGGACUUUGUCUUUGUGGCAGGAGCAAUGGCUCAUGGGAAGAUUGAGACAGAUUAUACAGAUGAGAUUAUAGCAAUUUUUGGGUACCCUCUAAGUGCUGCUUAGUGUAUUACAAGGAUUUGUGGUGCCCUUGAGGGAAAGUGGAAGAUUUUGUGAUUUAGCUUCUUCAUUUCAUGCCUGAGAUACAAUUUACUAAUUUAUGUAGCAUAUGCAGUUUAUGUAACAUCAGGGAUAUAUAGUGCCCUGCCAAGCAAACAUGUAAGAAAUACUCGUUAAAUAUUUGAGUUUUCUUUAGGGUCUGAUGCCUUGAACCAGAGCAGGGCUUUAAAGUUAAUUAUUGAGUGACAAUAUUGUAUUUGAAUUAAAUAUUCCUACCAUGCUUCUGAAAAUAUUAUUUGGU